rnacentral:rRNA from 1 species
AGUGAACGCUGGCGGUAGGCCUAAUACAUGCAAGUCGAGCGGACGCAUGAUGAGCUCUCGCCCUUACGGGUAGCGGGUGGCGGGUGGGUAACACAUGCAUCAGCUUCUUCUUAUUCGUGGGGGAUAACGUGAGAACACUGCUACUAAUACCGCAUAUGACGUACCGGUUAAAUCAGUAGAUAUACGCGCCUUUCGCGAUUCAAUUAGCCGGUGCCGGAUUAGCUAGUUGGCGUGGUAAAGGCCCACCAAGGCGACGAUGCGUAGCUGAUCUGAGAGGAUGAUCAGCCACACUGGAACUGAGACACGGUCCAGACUCCUACGGGAGGCAGCAGUGGGGAAUAUUCGACAAUGGGCGAAAGCCUGAUGCAGCCAUACCGCGUGAGUGAAGAAGGCCUUCGGGUUGUAAAGCCCUUUUGUUGGGAAAGAAAAGCAGCAUGUUAAUACCUCGCUGUUCUGACGGUACCCAAUGAAUAAGCAACGGCUAACUUCGUG